UACGGAGGGAGCUAGCGUUGUUCGGAAUUACUGGGCGUAAAGCGCACUAGGCGGCUUUGCAAGUUAGAGGUGAAAGCCUGGAGCUCAACUCCAGAACUGCCUUUAAAACUGCAUCGCUUGAAUCCAGGAGAGGUGAGUGGAAUUCCGAGUGUAGAGGUGAAAUUCGUAGAUAUUCGGAAGAACACCAGUGGCGAAGGCGGCUCACUGGACUGGUAUUGACGCUGAGGUGCGAAAGCGUGGGGAGCAAACAGG
rnacentral:rRNA from 1 species